UUUUUUUUUUUUUUUUUUUUUUUUGUCUUUUUGCCAUUUCUUGGGCCGCUCCCACGGCACAUGGAGGUUCCCAGGCUAGGGGUCUAAUCGGAGCUGUAUUCUCCGGCCUACGCCAGAGCCACAGCAACUCGGGAUCCGAGCCUCGUCUGCAACCUACACCACAGCUCAUGGCAAUGCCGGAUCGUUAACCCACUGAGCAAGGGCAGGGACCGAACCCACAACCUCAUGGUUCCUAGUCGGAUUCGUUAACCACUGCGCCACAACGGGAACUCCUUGGCUGUAAUUAUUAAUUGUUGGACACAUGAAAUCUCUGUGUCCAAGAAAUAAAAAAGUAAGAAAGUUUCACACAAGACAGGGUUCACAGUUUUUGUUUUUGGUUUUGUUUUUUAGUGACUUAAUCUCAAAAAUGUCAUGUGUUAAUUUUGCUGUAUUAUAUUCAUUAGAAAUUAGUUACUAGGUAUAGUCCAGACUCAAGCAGAGGGAUUACACGAAAGCAUGAACUUAAAGAUGUAGGGUCACUGCUAGGGGCUGCCUAGUGCAUUUCACUCUGCCCUGCAGUAAUUCACAUCACUUCUUCAUGCAGAAUACAUUCACCUUCCCAAAGUCCCCAAACAUGUAAUCACAUUAAAACAUUAUCUCCAAGUGCAGAAUAUUAUUACAUAAGUCAGGUUCGUAAGUGGACAUUUCCAGUUCUCUGAGUACAGCUUCUAUAGAAAUAUAGAUCUGAGAAACUAAAAAGACAGGUUAUUUGCUUCCCACACACUCAACAUAACAAUGGUGGGAUAUAGAAUAAGCACAAUAGACAUUUUUGUUGAAAAAAGUAUAAGGUCAUAGGCACACAGGAGUGAUUGAUCCAUAGCAGUUCUAAUAUCCAGCCAGACAAAUAUGUGAAGUUCUUUGGUUGUGUCUCAAUAUAUAGGAAUAAUUGUCUGUCUGUCAGUGCCACUUUUUGCAUUCUUUUUUUCCAUUUGCUACUCCAUCCUUCUUUUAUCACAAAAGGUAGCACAUAUUUGUGGCUGAAAAAUGUUCUCUGUCUGCUUCACGGAGAGUAGAGGUUUGGGUGUCCAACUUUACUGUCAAGAGACAAUACAAUGUCUCUUUCAUUUUUUAUUUUCUCUGACCUUUCAAUCUAAAUUGGCAAUCCCUGCUGAGACAUUGGGGGACAAUGUUGGAGGUAUCCUAAAAGUCCUAUGUUUGGUUGACAAGAUCUGUGGGUUACAGCCUUAAAACUCUCUGAAGAUAUGUUAAAUCACUAACCCCCAGAACCUCUGAAUAUAAUCACAUUAAGGAAUGGGGUUAUUGUAGAUAUAAUUCAUUACUAUGAGAUCAUCUUGGGAGUGCUCACUGAGGUUCAGUGGUAAGGAAUCUGACUAGUAUCCAUGAGGAUUCGAGUUUGGUCCCAGGCCCCACUCGGUGGGUUAAUGAUCUGGUGUUACUGUGAGCUUUGGUGUACGUCACAGACGUGGCUCAGAUCCUGCAUUGCCAUGGCAUAGGCUGGCAGCUGCAGCUCUGAUUCAAACCCAAGGCUGGGAAUUUCCAUAUGUUGUGGGUGCAGCCCU
rnacentral:lncRNA from 1 species